rnacentral:misc_RNA from 1 species
AAGUCGUAACAAGGUCUCCGUAGGUGAACCUGCGGAGGGAUCAUUAACAAAUAAUUUCUUUUUGCCUAAGCUAAUAAUUUAUUUUUUUAGCUUAGCAAAAUUUAAUAAACACAACGUGAACUAUAUGACUGACUGACUAAGAAAAUAAAAAAUUUAUUUUUUUUCUUUCUUUUUCGGCUUUUUUUAUAAUUUAAUUAACGAAUUUCACUUAAUUUAUUUUCUUUUUUUAACUAAGAAGAAAAAACAAAUUAAUUUUCAAAAAAAUUAAAAAAAACAAGAAUUUCUUAUUUUUUUUGAGUUUGAUGAUUUUUAAUUUCUUUUUUUACUUUGUAAGCAAAUAUUCCUAAAAAAAAUAUUUUUUCUUACUAAUAUAAAUAAAAAAAUUUAAAAGCACAACUCUUAGCAACGGAUAUCUUGGUUCUC